AUUGAACGCUGGCGGCAUGCUUUACACAUGCAAGUCGGACGGCAGCACAGAGAAGCUUGCUUCUUGGGUGGCGAGUGGCGAACGGGUGAGUAAUAUAUCGGAACGUACCGAGUAAUGGGGGAUAACUAAUCGAAAGAUUAGCUAAUACCGCAUAUUCUCUGAGGAGGAAAGCAGGGGACCUUCGGGCCUUGCGUUAUUCGAGCGGCCGAUAUCUGAUUAGCUAGUUGGUGGGGUAAAGGCCUACCAAGGCGACGAUCAGUAGCGGGUCUGAGAGGAUGAUCCGCCACACUGGGACUGAGACACGGCCCAGACUCCUACGGGAGGCAGCAGUGGGGAAUUUUGGACAAUGGGCGCAAGCCUGAUCCAGCCAUGCCGCGUGUCUGAAGAAGGCCUUCGGGUUGUAAAGGACUUUUGUCAGGGAAGAAAAGGCUGUUGCUAAUACCGACAGCUGAUGACGGUACCUGAAGAAUAAGCACCGGCUAACUACGUGCCAGCAGCCGCGGUAAUACGUAGGGUGCGAGCGUUAAUCGGAAUUACUGGGCGUAAAGCGAGCGCAGACGGUUACUUAAGCAGGAUGUGAAAUCCCCGGGCUCAACCUGGGAACUGCGUUCUGAACUGGGUGACUAGAGUGUGUCAGAGGGAGGUAGAAUUCCACGUGUAGCAGUGAAAUGCGUAAAGAUGUGGAGGAGUACCGAUGGCGAAGGCAGCCUCCUGGGGAGAAACUGACGUUCAGCUCGAAAACGUGGGGAGCAACAGG
rnacentral:rRNA from 1 species